rnacentral:misc_RNA from 1 species
GAAAUGCGAUAAGUAGUGUGAAUUGCAGAAUUCAGUGAAUCAUCGAAUCUUUGAACGCACAUUGCGCCCUUCGGUAUUCCGUUGGGCAUGCCUGUUCGAGCGUCAUUUAAACCUUCAAGCUAUGCUUGGUGUUGGGUGUUUGUUCCGCCUCAGCGCGUGGACUCGCCUCAAAUUCAUUGGCAGCCGGUAUGUUGGCUUCGUGCGCAGCACAUUGCAAGCGACUUCAGCAAACCCCCUUCCAUAAGCCCUUUUUUUACUUUGACCUCGGAUCAGGUAGGGAUACCCGCUGAGUUUAA